CAGGCCUAACACAUGCAAGUCGAACGAAGUAGCAAUACUUAGUGGCAGACGGGUGAGUAACAUGUGGGUAUCUACCCUUUGGCCUGGAAUAACACGAGGAAACUUGUGCUAAUACCGGAUAAGUCUUUACGGAGAAAGCUUUAUGCACCAUUGGAUGAGCCCGCACUUGAUUAGUUUGUUGGUAGGGUAAUGGCCUACCAAGACUGUGAUCAAUAGCUGAUUUGAGAGGAUGAUCAGCCACAUUGGGACUGAGACACGGCCCAAACUCCUACGGGAGGCAGCAGUGGGGAAUCUUGCACAAUGGAGGAAACUCUGAUGCAGCGAUGCCGCGUGAGUGAAGAAGGCCCUUGGGUUGUAAAGCUCUUUCGUCGGGGAAGAAAAUGACUGUACCCGAAUAAGAAGGUCCGGCUAACUUCGUGCCAGCAGCCGCGGUAAUACGAAGGGACCUAGCGUAGUUCGGAAUUACUGGGCUUAAAGAGUUCGUAGGUGGUUGAAAAAGUUGGUGGUGAAAUCCCAGAGCUUAACUCUGGAACUGCCAUCAAAACUUUUCAGCUAGAGUUUGAUAGAGGAAAGCAGAAUUUCUAGUGUAGAGGUGAAAUUCGUAGAUAUUAGAAAGAAUACCAAUUGCGAAAGCAGCUUUCUGGAUCAU
rnacentral:rRNA from 1 species